CCUCCCCUGAGUUCACUCCAACACAGGCAGGACGGGGGUGUCUGAGGUCUGGAGGAAAUCUCUCGGCUGCCAGCCAGCAGGUCCCGCAGCAGCUCAGCCCAGCCCCGCUCCCCUCCACCAGGAGCGGGUGGCUGGGAGUUAACGUCCCCAUGCAGAGCCGUGUGAUGAGCAGCCUGUUCUUCUUUUUCUGCCAUGGCUUAUGAAUCACAGCACGGCAGACAGUCGCAAGCCUUUAAAUCAGUGUCAGCGAGAUCAGCCCCACCACUUCAAAGUAAGGAGAGGUGAAGUUUCCGCUCUCCAAACCAGUUAAUUGCGUGGUUUGGAUUUAUGUACUUUCUCUCAAACAUCGUUGGUUUUUUCUUUGUUUUAUAAGGUCAGAGGCACACAAGUAUUUAAAGCAUGCACGUGCGUGUGAGUGUGCGUGCAUGCAUACACACACAUAUUGCAGCUUAAGAUACUGCAGAUAUAAUCACUCCAGUAAAAGCAGAAUCUUAAACUGAAGUAUGUAACCAUUUUGGCCAGGAAUCAAACCAAACAUUCCCUGGCCCCUGCCCAUCCAUUUAAUCAGCCUAACAGAAGCCUUUCUGCAGUGCCCCAAGCCCCGAGCCAGGCUUUCCAGGCUGCCCACUCCAGGAACAACGCAGAGCAUCGCCUCUCUCACAGGGGAGGUGACUUGCAGCGCACCAUUUAUAGAGCAACUGACCUUUAUUUUAGAGACUGCUUAAGCAAAGUAACAUGCAAAAAAAAAACACACUUGAGAAAGAGUCUCAUCUGCCUCUGGGCUCCUGCAAAUCCUUUUCUGUUCCUCCUUUGUAGCACAAUGUGUUGGACGCCUGUUGUUCAUCCCCAUAGAGCACGGCGUGUACAUCCAUGCUGUCUGUCCUUUGGCUGGAGCUAUGUUCGCAGAUUUCCCAUGGGAAAGGGGGUGCUUUGCUUCAAAGAGUACUACCAGGGCAUUGCAUGGGCCACAGGGCCCCGUGCACCACUGCCAGGGAAGAUGUAGGGGAUGUGGCUGUCUGCACCAAAGGACUUCACAGGACCCAGCUGGGAGGUGAGGGUGAAACCACCUGCAACCUGUCAUGCUGCAGGUGUGCUUUGCAGGAGCACAUCCCCACGCAUCAGUGUCUGGAAACAAUCUGUUCUGGAGACAGCAGCCUGAUGUGUGCAUCCUUGGUGGGCACCCACAGCUCCAGCCAGAGCCCAGAGAGAGGAGAGGCGCCUGCGCUCUGCCUGCAGCACGCUGGCGAGGCACCUCCUCCUUCAUGCUCGUCCCCGGCUCCUGUGCCGGUUUCUCCCAUUGCUGCCUACCUGUGCCAGGAGCACUCGGGGACUCGUGGGGACCUGUGGCUGGAGCAGGGCGGGUCUGGCCCCUCUGCACACAGGAGCCAGCAGCGGUGGUGCCAGGACGUGGCUGGGGCUGAUGGCAGCCACACCAGGAGAUGGCGGAUACCUGGCGAUCCCAGCGCAUGGCCAUUCCUCUUCCGCAGCAUCUUGCCUCCUGCUGUACAUCUGACCUUCUCUCUCCUGUCUUCACAUGCCCUCCAUGUUAUGCGCCUGGCCCGAUUCCUAAGGGUGACUCUUGAAUUUGGACCGAGCGUGCUGUGCCAUUUCCUGGAGUCCCCAUGCAGCUUGUGA
ensembl:lncRNA